UUUUAUGCUUGCAUAAAUGAUUUUUGGAUUCGGAGCGAGUGGCGAACUGGUGAGUAACACGUGGGUAACCUGCCCCGAAGCGGGGGAUAACAUUUGGAAACAAGUGCUAAUACCGCAUAAUUAGUUGGAACCGCAUGGUUCCAACUUGAAAGAUGGCUCUGCUAUCACUUUGGGAUGGACCCGCGCCGUAUUAGUUAGUUGGUGAGAUAAAAGCCCACCAAGACGAUGAUACGUAGCCGACCUGAGAGGGUAAUCGGCCACAUUGGGACUGAGACACGGCCCAGACUCCUACGGGAGGCAGCAGUAGGGAAUCUUCCACAAUGGACGAAAGUCUGAUGGAGCAACGCCGCGUGAGUGAUGAAGGUUUUCGGAUCGUAAAACUCUGUUGUUAAAGAAGAACAAGUGUUAGAGUAACUGUUAACACUUUGACGGUAUUUAACCAGAAAGCCACGGCUAACUACGUGCCAGCAGCCGCGGUAAUACGUAGGUGGCAAGCGUUGUCCGGAUUUAUUGGGCGUAAAGCGAGCGCAGGCGGUUUUGUAAGUCUGCUGUGAAAGCCCUCAGCUCAACUGAGGAAGUGCAGUGGAAACUACAAAACUUGAGUACAGAAGAGGAAAGUGGAACUCCAUGGUGUAGCGGUGAAAUGCGUAGAUAUAUGGAAGAACACCAGUGGCGAAGGCGGCUUUCUGGUCUGUUACUGACGCUGAGGCUCGAAAGCAUGGGUAGCGAACAGGAUUAGAUACCCUGGUAGUCCAUGCCGUAAACGAUGAAUACUAGGUGUUUGGAAGGGUUUCCGCCCUUCAGUGCCGCAGCUAACGCAUUAAGUAUUCCGCCUGGGGGAGUACGACCGCAAGGUUGAAACUCAAAGGAAUUGACGGGGGCCCGCACAAGUGGUGGAGCAUGUGGUUUAAUUCGAUGCUACGCGAAGAACCUUACCAGCUCUUGACAUCUUCUGCCAACCCAAGAGAUUGGGCGUUCCCUUCGGGGACAGAAUGACAGGUGGUGCAUGGUUGUCGUCAGCUCGUGUCGUGAGAUGUUGGGUUAAGUCCCGCAACGAGCGCAACCCUUAUUAUUAGUUGCCAGCAUUUAGUUGGGCACUCUAGUGAGACUGCCGGUGAUAAACCGGAGGAAGGUGGGGACGACGUCAAAUCAUCAUGCCCCUUAUGAGCUGGGCUACACACGUGCUACAAUGGAUGGUACAACGAGUCGCGAAACCGCGAGGUCAAGCUAAUCUCUUAAAGCCAUUCUCAGUUCGGAUUGCAGGCUGCAACUCGCCUGCAUGAAGUUGGAAUCACUAGUAAUCGUGGAUCAGCAUGCCACGGUGAAUACGUUCCCGGGCCUUGUACACACCGCCCGUCACACCAUGAGAGUUUGUAACACCCAAAGACGAUG
rnacentral:rRNA from 1 species